CACCAGACUCCUACGGGAGGCAGCAGUGGGGGAUAUUGCACAAUGGGUGCAAGCCUGAUGCAGCGACGCCGCGUGAGCGAUGAAGUAUUUCGGUAUGUAAAGCUCUAUCAGCAGGGAAGAAAGAAAUGACGGUACCUGACUAAGAAGCCCCGGCUAACUACGUGCCAGCAGCCGCGGUAAUACGUAGGGAGCGAGCGUUGUCCGGAAUUACUGGGUGUAAAGGGAGCGUAGGCGGGCGAGAAAGUUGAAUGUUAAAUCUACCGGCUUAACUGGUAGCUGCGUUCAAAACUUCUUGUCUUGAGUGAAGUAGAGGCAGGCGGAAUUCCUAGUGUAGCGGUGAAAUGCGUAGAUAUUAGGAGGAGCACCAGUGGCGAAGGCGGCCUGCUGGGCGUUAACUGACGCUGAGGCUCGAAAGCGUGGGGAGCAAGCAGGAUUAGAUACCCUCGUAGCC
rnacentral:rRNA from 1 species